rnacentral:misc_RNA from 1 species
GAUGAAGAACGCAGCGAAAUGCGAUACUUGGUGUGAAUUGCAGAAUCCCGUGAACCAUCGAGUCUUUGAACGCAAGUUGCGCCCGAAGCCUCGGCUAAGGGCACGUCUGCCUGGGCGUCACGCAUCGCGUCUCCCCCAAACCGCCAAGGCGGAGGGGAAGGAAGAUGGCCUCCCGUGCCUCACCCGGCGCGGUUGGCCUAAAUUUGGAGCCCGCGGCACUUAGCUCACGCGGCGAUAGGUGGUGAACAAGGCCUUGGCCGUGCAAACAACCCGCUGCGAAGCUCUAUGUCACGUGCGCUCGUCGGACCCUUUGAAGUUGCCUUCGGUGACUUAAAACCUUUGCGACCCCAGGUCAGGCGGGGCUACCCGCUGAAUUUAAGCAUAUCAAUAAGCGGAGGA